AGUCUUCGCAACAGCUUUAAUUCUAUAUCAAUAUGCUAGUAAAAAAAAUUUAAAUUAGCUAUAUUAAUAACGAAGUAAAAUUAAUUAAGAUUGCUAAAGUUGACUCACCACAAUAUUUAUAUCUUUAAUUUGAUUUAUUAUAUUUAUCAGCGAAUGUCUUGCGUAUUGAUUGCCGAUUUCAUCUUUCCAGUAUGCACUAUAUAAGAGAAAAUGAAAUUGUUAUUAAAUAAGUAAAAUACGAAAUAGAAUAUUUAAGUUAACGAAGUUAAAUUUAAUAUCUUACUCUGAUGGAUUUUCUGAUAUCCAUUCUCUAAUGUUUUUGUAUUUGUCGAUGUUAUAAUCUUCUAAAAUUUUUGUAUUUGUUGAUGUUAUAAUCUUCCAAAGUAUUCGUUGCCGUUGGUGAUGGAGAUUGUGUCUCUUUUUGCUUACCUUUUUUUUCUUUUGUUGAUCUUAAAUUUAAUAUCUUACUCUGAUGGAUUUUCUGAUAUCCAUUCUCUAAUGUUUUUGUAUUUGUCGAUGUUAUAAUCUUCUAAAGUAUUCGCUGCCGUUGGUGAUGGAGAUUGUGUCUCUUUUUGCUUACCUUUUUUUUCUUUUGUUGAUCUUUCGACGUCUUCUGCAUGUUCAGAUGUUGAAGGCAUUUCAAA
rnacentral:lncRNA from 1 species